UUGUUGUUUACACGAACGGGACAUUUUAAAACCGUUAACCGGACGCGUUGCUUAACGUAUAACGGCAGUAUUAGUUUGCAAAGUCAGUAUAAACCAAAUUAAUAAAUCAUACUAUGUGUAUGCAAGCCUACGAGCACACGCGAUGCGUUAAAUUAUACGCUAGUGUUUUCCUUUUAUAAAACUAUUAUGAAGAAAUGCUUAACGUAGCCUAAUGUAUACGUCAAUGAUAUGAAAAGAUCAGAUUUAACGUUACCUGAGAGAAUAAUUUAUUAGUAUAAAAGCAUAUUUAACAAAGUACCCUAAAUUAACGUUACAUGAAGCUGGGAGGAAAACUCUAAAUGUGUAAGUUACCACGUUGUGUUUAUAUUCUCAUCCGCUUGGCUUUACCUGUUACAUAAAUUAUGCGUUAUUAAUAAGGUGUAUAACUACAUUUUAUCUUUCAAAUUCGUUAAACUACGUUAAGCAUUUUAGCGUAUGUUAUGUGUGUGUGGUGGCCAAUCGGAAAAACAUUAUAUUUUAAAUGUGAAUAUGUUUAAACAUAAAUGCUGAAACCUUAUUUGCAUAAAAUAAAGUUUUAAAAUGUGUUUUUGUUUUGUAUUAAAUUGCUUUUGAGGACAAGGUAGCUGUACAGUAAAUAUUCAGCCUCGAUCAGAAAACCAUGUCCCACUGUCAUAAAACACAGACCUGUGGCCAUGUGUAGUGAUUUGAGUAGUGUACAUCUACUCUGGUGAUCAUUUCAAAACAGUAUUUACUGAAAAAUAUGAGUGUUUAGCAUCAUGUAUUAAAUGUGUUAAAUAUGUCCUUUUUUCCCUGCAUUUAUUCUGCUGUCUAAAAUUCUUUGGGAGGAUAAAUUAAGGAGGAUGUAACAAAAUACACUGCAAGAACUGGAGUGAGGAUGAAGAGGACAACAGAAUAUCCAUCCUUUCUUCACCACCUCACAGAGUUUGAGUGAAACAACUUGUAUUAGGACUCACAGGAUUAUUUUAUGACAAGACUGAUUAUUUUAUACCAGAAGUAUGGUAUUUUUUUGAAGCUACUGUAUUAUUUCUUAUGACAAUUCAUUUUGAUGUGCAUUCAGAACUGUAAGUUGUGGUAGUGGAUCAUGAUCACCUCUCUAGCUUCAAAAGUAGGAUGCAGAAUGUAUAACACCAAAUCAUUAUAGCAUAACUCCAUGUAACUUGACAUAAUUUAAAGUCGUCUAAAGGCAGACAUGAUUGGGUGUGUGAAGUCCUAUGCCAAAGACUCUCCAAAUACUGCAUCUACACAUUCUUCCUGAUGUGUAUAUUUUGUUGGUAUAUCCUGGUUGUUGCAGACCUGACAGUAAACUUGACUGUGAGCAUCCUAUCCAUCAGGUGUAGCUGUUUACUUGCAUUACUCAUUUAGAGAAAUGACGGGUCAAAAUUGAUUAUAUGGAUUAUAUUUUCAUCACCCCUUUUUGUAUGUCUUUGGGACACUUGAAAUAUAUAGCAUGUAUAAUGUGGAGCCAUUUUAUAAUGCGGUCACAGACUACUCCCAUUGUAACUGGAAAACCAAAGAAAAUCAUUGUUUAAAUUAUACAAUUAUAAUUUUUGGAUUAACUAAACCUGUAAUCAGUGAUAUAUGUAUGUAUGUUUAUAAUUUGUUAUUUUAAAUGUAUUAAAUGAAUUGUAAUUUCACACAACUUCUUAAAGUAUUUGUAUUGUUUUAAAUAAAGGCUUCAAUAUUUGAAAUUGUCUCUUUGAAUUAAAUGUUAGCAGUAUCUGUAGGUUAAAAUGUAAAAAUUAAUUUUAUCUAAAAAUUAUAGCUAAUUUAAAUAUAAUAAAAAUGAAUGUAUAAAAAAAUAAAAAGAAUAGUAGUAUGUUAUACAGUAGUAUACUGCAAACCUGGGUUUUUUACGGUAGCACACUGUAUUACAUAUUUACAGUAGCAUUUAAAUACUGUAAAAUGGAAAUACAGUUUAGAACUGUAAAUCUUAUUUACAGUAGCCUACUGGCAACAGUGUUGCCAGUAGGUUACUGUAAAAAUCCUUGAA